AUUGAACGCUGGCGGAAUGCUUUACACAUGCAAGUCGAACGGCAGCACGGACUUCGGUCUGGUGGCGAGUGGCGAACGGGUGAGUAAUGCAUCGGAACGUGCCCAAUCGUGGGGGAUAACGUAGCGAAAGUUACGCUAAUACCGCAUACGAUCUAAGGAUGAAAGCGGGGGGUCGCAAGACCUCGCGCGAAUGGAGCGGCCGAUGUUAGAUUAGGUAGUUGGUGGGGUAAAGGCUCACCAAGCCGACGAUCUAUAGCUGGUCUGAGAGGAUGAUCAGCCACACUGGGACUGAGACACGGCCCAGACUCCUACGGGAGGCAGCAGUGGGGAAUUUUGGACAAUGGGCGCAAGCCUGAUCCAGCCAUUCCGCGUGCAGGAUGAAGGCCCUCGGGUUGUAAACUGCUUUUGUACAGAACGAAAAGCUCUGGGUUAAUACCCUGGGGUCAUGACGGUACUGUAAGAAUAAGCACCGGCUAACUACGUGCCAGC
rnacentral:rRNA from 1 species